GACGAACGCUGGCGGCGUGCUUAACACAUGCAAGUCGAACGGAAAGGCCCUGCUUGCAGGGUACUCGAGUGGCGAACGGGUGAGUAACACGUGGGUGAUCUGCCCUGCACUUCGGGAUAAGCCUGGGAAACUGGGUCUAAUACCGGAUAGGAGCCAUUUUUAGUGUGAUGGUUGGAAAGUUUUUUCGGUGUAGGAUGAGCUCGCGGCCUAUCAGCUUGUUGGUGGGGUAAUGGCCUACCAAGGCGGCGACGGGUAGCCGGCCUGGGAGGGUGGACGGCCACAUUGGGACUGAGAUACGGCCCAGACUCCUACGGGAGGCAGCAGUGGGGAAGAUUGCACAAUGGGCGCAAGCCUGAUGCAGCGAAGCCGCGUGGGGGAUGACGGCCUUCGGGUUGGAAACUCCGUUCGCUAGGGACGAAGCUUUUUGUGACGGUACCUAGAUAAGAAGCACCGGCUAACUACGUG
rnacentral:rRNA from 1 species